AUCUCCCACCCUUUGUGAACAUACCUCUGUUGCUUUGGCGGCUCUUUGCCGCGAGGAGGCCCUCGCGGGCCCCCCCGCGCGCUUUCCGCCAGAGGACCUUCAAACUCCAGUCAGUAAACGUCGACGUCUGAUAAACAAGUUAAUAAACUAAAACUUUCAACAACGGAUCUCUUGGUUCUGGCAUCGAUGAAGAACGCAGCGAAAUGCGAUAAGUAAUGUGAAUUGCAGAAUUCAGUGAAUCAUCGAAUCUUUGAACGCACAUUGCGCCCCCUGGCAUUCCGGGGGGCAUGCCUGUUCGAGCGUCAUUACAACCCUCAAGCUCUGCUUGGUAUUGGGCGCCGUCCUCUCUGCGGACGCGCCUUAAAGACCUCGGCGGUGGCUGUUCAGCCCUCAAGCGUAGUAGAAUACACCUCGCUUUGGAGCGGUUGGCGUCGCCCGCCGGACGAACCUUCUGAACUUU
rnacentral:rRNA from 1 species